GACGAACGCUGGCGGCGUGCUCAACACAUGCAAGUCGAACGGAAAGGCCCUGCUUUUGUGGGGUGCUCGAGUGGCGAACGGGUGAGUAACACGUGAGUAACCUGCCCUUGACUUUGGGAUAACUUCAGGAAACUGGGGCUAAUACCGGAUAGGAGCUCCUGCUGCAUGGUGGGGGUUGGAAAGUUUCGGCGGUUGGGGAUGGACUCGCGGCUUAUCGGCUUGUUGGUGGGGUAGUGGCUUACCAAGGCUUUGACGGGUAGCCGGCCUGAGAGGGUGACCGGCCACAUUGGGACUGAGAUACGGCCCAGACUCCUACGGGAGGCAGCAGUGGGGAAUAUUGCACAAUGGGCGGAAGCCUGAUGCAGCAACGCCGCGUGCGGGAUGACGGCCUUCGGGUUGUAAACCGCUUUCGCCUGUGACGAAGCGUGAGUGACGGUAAUGGGUAAAGAAGCACCGGCUAACUACGUG
rnacentral:rRNA from 1 species